CAACCUUGUCUGAUCAGGUUGACAAAGCCAGGGCACAAGGAAAGCAUGAAGGUGAUUUGCCUAUGUUACCUGCUGACAGUGUGGAAACUACAAGCAUUUUCUUCCUUGUUACAAAUCUUUUGACUAUGAAGUCUAGCAGUUUAUCUGUAAAAAUUCUCCUGUUGGGCCAGAGGUGAUUCUGAAUAAUCUUUUCUUUUCCAGACAUUUUCAUCAUAUUUGAUGUGGGUACCUGGAUGGAGGCCUGAGGCUGGAUCACUUUAAGGGAACUGGACUUCUGAGUGACCAGUAUAACCAUGAUGCUUUCAAGCAUUUGGAAUUCCAGGUUUCCCAUCUGGCAGAAGAUUUUCAUUGCUAGCCACAACCAGAUAAUAUCAUUAUUCAAUGCAUCCUCUGGGCAGCCUCUGUCACCAGGGCUCCUAGAUACCUGCCAUUGUUAACCACCCAGCAAUGAAACUGAAGGGACAGCUCACAGUGGCUGUGGUUAAAUCCUGGCCCCAUGGAAAUCAAUGUCAAAGCACUCAACGGCUUUAAUGGAGUCAAGAGUUCACACUGUCUGGAUAUGGGAGCUGCUGAUUCUACUGGCUCAGGAAACUAGUUCUUUCUGAUACAAUAAGCAAAAUAUUCAUGUCUGGAAACAAACCAAUUAAAGUUAUGGUUUUAUUGCUCAGAAUAAACACCAGUCAAAAAAAUUA